GGCCUUAAGGUGAUAUUCAUGUCGAAUUGCAAAUUCGGAGGAGUAGGAGAACCCCUACUAAGGCUU
rnacentral:tRNA from 1 species